GUACCAAAAUGGAUUACUACUAUUCCAUUUCAAAGAGUAUCUCCUCUCUCCUUGUUCUUAUUCUCCUCUUCUCAUCUCUCAUGGUCUCCUCUUCUCACUCUGUGGCAUUCCCAAGCUCCAAUAAUCACCUUAAGGGAGUAAAACCAUCCAGGGAAUCUGAGCUCACACCCCCUUCACCCACAGCCAAUCGGAGCCCGCCAGGUGGACCCUUCCGGUGAUCACGGCCGUCGAUUUUCGCCCAGGUGGACCCUUCUGGUGAUCACGGCCGUCGAUUUUCGCCGAUAUGUGUACUUCGCAGCAGUUUAUGUUUGAUUCUUUCUAAAUACCAAUGUUGUUUCAAAGAUGAAAACUUGCCCUAACCCUAAUUCUUCACCAAUGAAGUUCCCCUUUCAUAUCCGUACCACCGCCAUUAUCUUUGCGCUUCUUUUCUCAGCACUUUUGGGUACUACAACCGAGUCCAGGUCAAUUCAAAACUACCACAUACAAGCCAAAGAUGGAGAAAUACUGGCUAAUCAGUUGAGCUCGAAAGGCGUCGAAGGGCUCGCUAGGGCUUCACCCUUCACGCCGCCAUCGCCGAAACCCAAUGACCCUCGGGACCCGCCGCCGUCGGCCUCUUGAGAGUGCUAAUGAUGAAUAUUAUUGCCUUUAAUCCUAUUAUGAAAUAAUUCUCAAUAAUAAUAAUGGGUGAUUCUAUAUAUAUAUAUAUAUAUA